UUUUUUUUUUGGUCUCCUCAAGUUAUGGAGAAAAAGUGAAAGACUUGCUUCUUCUCUUCAAAUUGUGAUUUAUCUUAUGUUCUGUUUCUAACAGGGCAGCUAAGCUGGGAAUGAAGUUGGAAUGGUCGGAAGAUGGAGUGAAAACAAUAAUGGGUCCUAUACCGGCCGUCAAAUACGACAAGUCCAGAAAUCGCAAGAUUUGGUUCAAUAGCAUGGUGGCUGCCUACACAGGCUGGGAAGAUGCCAGAAAUGAUCCUAAGAAGGCUGUGACAUUUGGGGAUGGGAAACCAUUACCAGGUGAUAUCAUCUAUGACUGCUUGAAAAUUCUCGAAGAUGAAAGUGUUGCCAUUCCUUGGCAGAAAGGUGAUUUUCUGUUGAUAGAUAACUGGGCUGUUCUUCAUGCCCGCAAAUCUUUCAAUCCGCCCCGUCGAGUGCUGGCUUCGCUUUGCAAGUAGUC
rnacentral:misc_RNA from 1 species